rnacentral:rRNA from 1 species
GUCCACGGCCACACCUAGGCGAAAACACCAGUUCCCGUCCGAUCACUGCAGUUGAGUGAAAACGUCUGAUGGCCUCGUUUGUACUAUGGUUGGAGACAACAUGGGAAUCCGGGGUGCUGUAGGAU